rnacentral:rRNA from 1 species
GGGAGUGGCGAACGGGUGAGUAACACGUGGGUAACCUGCCCAUCAUAAGGGGAUAACGCUUGUGAAACAGGUGCUAAUACCGUAUAACACUCGAAACCGCAUGGUUUCGUUUUGAAAGGCGCUUUACGGUCCCACUGAUGGAUGGACCCGNNGUGCAUUAGCUAGUUGGUGAUGUAACGGCUCACCAGGGCCGCUAUGCAUCCCCGACCUGAGAGGGUGAUCGCCCACAUUGGGACUGAGACACGGCCCAAACUCCUACGGGAGGCAGCAGUAGGGAAUCUUCGGCAGUGGACGAAAGUCUGACCGAGCAACGCCGCGUGAGUGAAUAAUGUUUUCGGAUCGUAAAACUCUGUUGUUACAGAAGAACACUGGUGAGAUUAACUGUUCACCCCUUGACGGUAUCUCACCACAACCCCCCGGCUUACUACGUGCCAGCGGCCGCUGUAANACGUUUGUGGCAAGCAUUGUCCGGAUUUAUUGGGUGUUAACCCCCGCUC